UUUGUUAUUGGCAGUGAAGCUUGCAGAGAGAAAGGUAGCCAGUCGUCGAGUGUCAGUAGAGUUGUCAGGAUAGAAACAAUCCCUUAUAGAAUCAAUUAGUUAACAGUUAUGGUUCAAACCUGCUCAGCUUACGGCUGUAAAAACCGUUAUCACAAAGAUAAAGACAUCUCCUUCCAUAAGUUUCCUCUGGCGCGUCCAGACAUCUGUGGCAAAUGGGUGUCAGCAAUGAGGAGGAACAACUUCAAGCCCAGCAAGUACAGUAACAUCUGCUCGCAGCACUUCACCAAAGACUGCUUCAAGAGAGAAUGCAACAACCGCGUACUCAAGGAGAACGCCGUGCCCUCGCUCUUCAACUUCAACCUCAACAUCAAGUCUGAAAGUCUGGAGGAUCCCUUUACCUCUGAGAUCCACUUCCCCCUCUCGUUUCCUUUGAUGUCUGACACCGUCAUGGAGGAGGUGGAGUCUGAGCCUACCAGGAGUCCGCCAGAUACCCACAGCGACACGGUGGUGGUCUCCUGCGACCACAACUACACGGCAGAGGACUCUGCGCGGCAGAAGAAGCGCAUCCAGCAGCUGGAGGAGCAGGUGGAGCUUCUCAGGAAGAAGCUGAAAACCACACAGCAGAAGUGUCGCCGUCAGGAGAGGCAACUCAAGAGCCUGAGGGUUUCCUACAAGACGGUCAAGACCACCGCGUGUGACGCGCCGGUUGCUUUCAGCGAGGGUUAUGUCAUUUUACCAAAACAUAUCUACCAAACACUCAAAGGCAUCGAGUAACAAGCAUACGUGAGUUUACUGAGACUCCAAAUCUACUGCUUGUCCUGAACAGUUGGAGCUUCUGAGCGAGAAGACUAUCAGCAGGACAGCCCACUUGAAGCAGCAUGGACCAUAAAAUCAAGUCUUAACAUUGAAAUGCUUUCAUGUUGGACUUUCAUAACAUCCUUCCUGUAACAAUGGAGUUCAUCAGCACAUCUUUUGCACAUUCAGAGGGGAAAAUCAGCAUUUGACCCCCUGCUGAUUUUGUACGUUUACCCCUUGUAAGGUUACCCUUUACAUGUAAUAAAGGUUAUCAAUUCAUUUGUAUUUGAUUGAGUGUAGGAGGGACCAGAGCUCUUUCAUAGAGUUCUGCAGGGGGGUUCCUGUGAUCAGAAGCCUGUGAUUGGACGUGAAGUCAGUCAUCGUCUUUUAGAGGACAGAGUCAUCAUUUCUCAGUCCAUGUGCCUCAUCCGCGCCAAUGAAAGCCCAGUUAACGCUGCCCGGAACUUUCAGUUGUACUGGCAGCGGCAAUGCCAAUUAUUUACAGUGCGAUUCCCAGACAUGGAAAUGAAAGGACAUUCAGUAACAUACGCUGGCAGAACCUUUCAGCCGUCCGAACAGACUCCAAGAAAUUAGUCAGCAUUUUUUAUGCAAACUGGAUGAAGGACAUUCACAUACAGCUCCUAACAAACCCAAUGGAAAUGGAAUUACAGGAAAAAAACUAGCACAUCCGGUGGGGAAACGCACUACCGGCUGCCUACGAGGAGUCACCUGCACACACCUGCAGCCAAUUUACCAACCACUUCCUAAGCAGCGCUGUCAUGUCUACCCGUUGCCAGAUUGUUUUCCCUGCUUCUCACAAAGCCUCUUGUUCCGCGUAAGGUACUUUCUGGUCCCCCUGCGUGUUCAAGUGAGUACUAUUUUCCUGCCCGGCCAUUCCGGCAGUGUUUUUUUUUUUUAUUUUGACUUUAUUCUCGUGCAGUUACUGCUGACUUUUCCAUUUUUGUUGCUGUUGUGUGUGUGUGUGUGUGUGUGUGUGUUUUUUUCCCCUGUCCUGUCCAGCCUCAACAGAUUUACUCUGCCAGGGAGAAGUGUGAAUACACUUCCCCUGUUAUACAAACUUUAUUUGACUUUGAUGCUUGUUAUUAAGCAAAUUUGGAGCGACCGGAUCGGAGCAGGAGGGGACA